GCAAGUCGAGGGGUAACAGGGUAGCUUGCUAUUGCUGACGACCGGCGCACGGGUGCGUAACGCGUAUAGAACCUACCUUAUAGUAAGGGAUAGCCCAGAGAAAUUUGGAUUAAUACCUUAUAGUUUCAUUGAGAUGCAUAUUUUGAUGAUUAAAGAUUUAUUGCUAUAAGAUGGCUAUGCGUUCUAUUAGCUAGUUGGUAUGGUAACGGCAUACCAAGGCUACGAUAGAUAGGGGUCCUGAGAGGGAGAUC
rnacentral:rRNA from 1 species